rnacentral:rRNA from 1 species
AACGAACGCUGGCGGCGUGGAUUAGGCAUGCAAGUCGAACGUGAAAGUGCUUAAGGAGCAAUCCGGCGGCACGAGUAAAGUGGCGAACGGGUGAGUAACGCGUGGGAAAUCUGCUCUAGAGUGGGGGAUAACAGUUCUAACGGACUGCUAAUACCGCAUGAUGCCAUGGGUCGCAUGAUUUCAUGGUUGAAGGAGGCCUCUGUUUCAAGCUUUCGCUCUAGAAUGAUCCCGCGUCCUAUUAGCUUGUUGGUGGGGUAACGGCCUACCAAGGCGACGAUGGGUAGCCGGCUUGAGAGAGUGGUCGGCCACACUGGGACUGAGAUACGGCCCAGACUCCUACGGGAGGCAGCAGUCGAGAGGCUUCGGCAAUGGGGGAAACCCUGACCGAGCGACGCCGCGUGGGUGAUGAAGGUCUUUGGAUCGUAAAACCCUGUCAGGUGGGAUGAAACGCCAUUCGGUUAAUAUCCGAGUGGUCUGACAGUACCACCAGAGGAAGCUCCGGCUAACUCCGUGCCAGCAGCCGCGGUAAUACGGGGGGAGCAAACGUUGUUCGGAUUCAUUGGGCGUAAAGAGCUCGUAGGCGGCUUCGUAAGUCGGAGGUGAAAGGUCACGGCUCAACCGUGGGAACGCCCUCGAAACUACGAAGCUUGAGUCCGAGAGAGGAAAGUGGAAUUCCUGGAGUAGCGGUGAAAUGCGUAGAUAUCAGGAGGAACACCAGUGGCGAAGGCGACUUUCUGGCUCGGUACUGACGCUGAGGAGCGAAAGCUAGGGGAGCGAACAGGAUUAGAUACCCUGGUAGUCCUAGCCGUAAACGAUUGGCACUAGGUGUGGGGGGAUCGACCCCUUCCGUGCCGCAGUUAACGCAUUAAGUGCCCCGCCUGGGGAGUACGACCGCAAGGUUGAAACUCAAAGGAAUUGACGGGGGCCCGCACAAGCGGUGGAGCAUGUGGUUUAAUUCGAUGCAACGCGAAGAACCUUACCUGGCCUUGACAUUCUUGGAAUUUUGCAGAAACGUAAAAGUGCUGCCUUCGGGAGCCAAGAGACAGGUGCUGCAUGUCUGUCGUCAUCUCGUGUCGUGAGAUGUUGGGUUAAGUCCCGCAACGAGCGCAACCCCUAUCUCUAGUUGCCAGCGGAUUCGGUCGGGAACUCUAGAGAGACUGCCGGUGAUAAACCGGAGGAAGGUGGGGAUGACGUCAAGUCAUCAUGGCCCUUACGGCCAGGGCUACACACGUGCUACAAUGGAUAAUACAGAGGGUUGCGAACCCGUAAGGAGGAGCUAAUCUCAGAAAAUUAUUCGUAGUCCGGAUUGGAGUCUGCAACUCGAUUCCAUGAAGUCGGAAUCGCUAGUAAUCGCGAAUCAGCAUGUCGCGGUGAAUACGUUCCCGGGCCUUGUCCACACCGCCCGUCACACCAUGGGAGUGGGUUGUACCGUGGUAAGCGUCCUCCUUGCGGUAGGGAGGAAAGCGCCGAAGGUGUGCUUGGUGAGAGGGACU